rnacentral:rRNA from 1 species
CCUACGGGAGGCAGCAGUGGGGAAUAUUGGACAAUGGGCGAAAGCCUGAUCCAGCCAUGCCGCGUGUGUGAAGAAGGCCUUCGGGUUGUAAAGCACUUUCAGUGGGGAAGAAAGCCUUGGGGCUAAUACCCUCGAGGAAGGACAUCACCCACAGAAGAAGCACCGGCUAACUCCGUGCCAGCAGCCGCGGUAAUACGGAGGGUGCGAGCGUUAAUCGGAAUUACUGGGCGUAAAGCGCGCGUAGGCGGUCUGAUAAGCCGGUUGUGAAAGCCCCGGGCUCAACCUGGGAACGGCAUCCGGAACUGUCAGGCUAGAGUGCAGGAGAGGAAGGUAGAAUUCCCGGUGUAGCGGUGAAAUGCGUAGAGAUCGGGAGGAAUACCAGUGGCGAAGGCGGCCUUCUGGACUGACACUGACGCUGAGGUGCGAAAGCGUGGGUAGUAAACAGGAUUAGAUACCCGAGUAGUC